GGUUAAGCGACUAAGCGUACACGGUGGAUGCCCUGGCAGUCAGAGGCGAUGAAGGACGUGCUAAUCUGCGAAAAGCGUCGGUAAGGUGAUAUGAACCGUUAUAGCCGGCGAUGUCCGAAUGGGGAAACCCAGUGCAAUUCGUUGCACUAUCGUUUGAUGAAUACAUAGUCAAACGAGGCGAACCGGGGGAACUGAAACAUCUAAGUACCCCGAGGAAAAGAAAUCAACCGAGAUUCCCCCAGUAGCGGCGAGCGAACGGGGAGCAGCCCGGAGUCUGAAUCAGCUUGUGUGUUAGUGGAAGCGUCUGGAAAGUCGCAGGGUACAGGGUGAUACUCCCGUACACUAAAACGCACAGGUUGUGAACUCGAAGAGUAGGGCGGGACACGUGGUAUCCUGUCUGAAUAUGGGGGGACCAUCCUCCAAGGCUAAAUACUCCUGACUGACCGAUAGUGAACCAGUACCGUGAGGGAAAGGCGAAAAGAACCCCGGCGAGGGGAGUGAAAAAGAACCUGAAACCGUGUACGUACAAGCAGUAGGAGCCCACUAGUUGGGUGACUGCGUACCUUUUGUAUAAUGGGUCAGCGACUUAUAUUCUGUAGCAAGGUUAACCGUAUAGGGGAGCCGCAGGGAAACCGAGUCUUAACUGGGCGUUAAGUUGCAGGGUAUAGACCCGAAACCCGGUGAUCUAGCCAUGGGCAGGUUGAAGGUUGGGUAACACUAACUGGAGGACCGAACCGACUAAUGUUGAAAAAUUAGCGGAUGACUUGUGGCUGGGGGUGAAAGGCCAAUCAAACCGGGAGAUAGCUGGUUCUCCCCGAAAGCUAUUUAGGUAGCGCCUCGUGAAUUCAUCUUCGGGGGUAGAGCACUGUUUCGGCUAGGGGGUCAUCCCGACUUACCAACCCGAUGCAAACUACGAAUACCGAAGAAUGUUAUCACGGGAGACACACGGCGGGUGCUAACGUCCGUCGUGAAGAGGGAAACAACCCAGACCGCCAGCUAAGGUCCCAAAGUCAUGGUUAAGUGGGAAACGAUGUGGGAAGGCCCAGACAGCCAGGAUGUUGGCUUAGAAGCAGCCAUCAUUUAAAGAAAGCGUAAUAGCUCACUGGUCGAGUCGGCCUGCGCGGAAGAUGUAACGGGGCUAAACCAUGCACCGAAGCUGCGGCAGCGACACUAUGUGUUGUUGGGUAGGGGAGCGUUCUGUAAGCCGUUGAAGGUGGCCUGUGAGGGUUGCUGGAGGUAUCAGAAGUGCGAAUGCUGACAUAAGUAACGAUAAUGCGGGUGAAAAACCCGCACGCCGGAAGACCAAGGGUUCCUGUCCAACGUUAAUCGGGGCAGGGUGAGUCGACCCCUAAGGCGAGGCCGAAAGGCGUAGUCGAUGGGAAACAGGUUAAUAUUCCUGUACUCGGUGUUACUGCGAAGGGGGGACGGAGAAGGCUAUGUUGGCCGGGCGACGGUUGUCCCGGUUUAAGCAUGUAGGCGGAUGUUCCAGGUAAAUCCGGAACGUUACUAACGCUGAGGUGUGAUGACGAGGCACUACGGUGCUGAAGUGACAAAUGCCCUGCUUCCAGGAAAAGCCUCUAAGCAUCAGGUAACAUCAAAUCGUACCCCAAACCGACACAGGUGGUCAGGUAGAGAAUACCAAGGCGCUUGAGAGAACUCGGGUGAAGGAACUAGGCAAAAUGGUGCCGUAACUUCGGGAGAAGGCACGCUGAUGGUAGGUGAAGUGACUUGCUCAUGGAGCUGAAAUCAGUCGAAGAUACCAGCUGGCUGCAACUGUUUAUUAAAAACACAGCACUGUGCAAACACGAAAGUGGACGUAUACGGUGUGACGCCUGCCCGGUGCCGGAAGGUUAAUUGAUGGGGUUAUCCGUAAGGAGAAGCUCUUGAUCGAAGCCCCGGUAAACGGCGGCCGUAACUAUAACGGUCCUAAGGUAGCGAAAUUCCUUGUCGGGUAAGUUCCGACCUGCACGAAUGGCGUAAUGAUGGCCAGGCUGUCUCCACCCGAGACUCAGUGAAAUUGAACUCGCUGUGAAGAUGCAGUGUACCCGCGGCAAGACGGAAAGACCCCGUGAACCUUUACUAUAGCUUGACACUGAACACUGGUCCUUGAUGUGUAGGAUAGGUGGGAGGCUUUGAAGUGUGGACGCCAGUCUGCAUGGAGCCAUCCUUGAAAUACCACCCUUUAAUGGCUGGUGUUCUAACGUGGGCCCCUGAUCGGGGUUGCGGACAGUGUCUGGUGGGUAGUUUGACUGGGGCGGUCUCCUCCUAAAGAGUAACGGAGGAGCACGAAGGUCAGCUAAUCCUGGUCGGACAUCAGGAGGUUAGUGCAAUGGCAUAAGCUGGCUUGACUGCGAGCGUGACGGCGCGAGCAGGUGCGAAAGCAGGUCAUAGUGAUCCGGUGGUUCUGAAUGGAAGGGCCAUCGCUCAACGGAUAAAAGGUACUCCGGGGAUAACAGGCUGAUACCGCCCAAGAGUUCAUAUCGACGGCGGUGUUUGGCACCUCGAUGUCGGCUCAUCACAUCCUGGGGCUGAAGUAGGUCCCAAGGGUAUGGCUGUUCGCCAUUUAAAGUGGUACGCGAGCUGGGUUUAGAACGUCGUGAGACAGUUCGGUCCCUAUCUGCCGUGGGCGCUGGAGAAUUGAGGGGGGCUGCUCCUAGUACGAGAGGACCGGAGUGGACGCAUCACUGGUGUUCGGGUUGUCAUGCCAAUGGCAUUGCCCGGUAGCUAAAUGCGGAAGAGAUAAGUGCUGAAAGCAUCUAAGCACGAAACUUGCCCCGAGAUGAGUUCUCCCUGACCCUUUAAGGGUCCUGAAGGAACGUUGAAGACGACGACGUUGAUAGGCCGGGUGUGUAAGCGCAGCGAUGCGUUGAGCUAACCGGUACUAAUGAACCGUGAGGCUUAACCUU
rnacentral:rRNA from 1 species